CCUACGGGGGGCAGCAGUGGGGAAUAUUGCACAAUGGGCGCAAGCCUGAUGCAGCCAUGCCGCGUAUAUGAAGAAGGCCUUCGGGUUGUAAAGUACUUUCAGCGGGGAGGAAGGUGUUGUGGUUAAUAACCACAGCAAUUGACGUUACCCGCAGAAGAAGCACCGGCUAACUCCGUGCCAGCAGCCGCGGUAAUACGGAGGGUGCAAGCGUUAAUCGGAAUUACUGGGCGUAAAGCGCACGCAGUCGGUCUGUCGAGUCGGAUGUGAAAUCCCCGGGCUCAACCUGGGAACUGCAUUCGAAACUGGCAGGCUAGAGUCUUGUAGAGGGGGGUAGAAUUCCAGGUGUAGCGGUGAAAUGCGUAGAGAUCUGGAGGAAUACCGGUGGCGAAGGCGGCCCCCUGGACAAAGACUGACGCUCAGGUGCUAAAGCGUGGGGAGCAAACAGGAUUAGAUACCCCGGUAGUC
rnacentral:rRNA from 1 species